CAGCACCUCAAGUGGUCAGGAUGAUUAUUGGGCCUAAAGCAUCCGUAGCCAGCUCUGUAAGUUUUCGGUUAAAUCUGUACGCUCAACGUACAGGCUGCCGGGAAUACUGCAGAGCUAGGGAGUGGGAGAGGUAGACGGUACUCGGUAGGAAGGGGUAAAAUCCUUUGAUCUAUUGAUGACCACCUGUGGCGAAGGCGGUCUACCAGAACACGUCCGACGGUGAGGGAUGAAAGCUGGGGGAGCAAACCGGAUUAGAUACCCGUGUAGUCC
rnacentral:rRNA from 1 species